rfam:Dipodomys ordii contig_13216, whole genome shotgun sequence.
GGGAAUGUGACUUAGUGGUAGAGUACUUGCCUAGUAUGCAUGAAGCCCUGGGUUUGAUUCCUCAUAACCCCA